CUCUUUACACAUGGAUACAAUAUUAAUGGUGCUAUUAAAUUGGGUAGGUAAGGGGCUAGGAGCCACCAUCACACAUGGAUACAGUAUUAAUGGUGCUAUUAAAUUGGGUAGGUAAGGGGCUAGGAGCCACCAUUACACAUGGAUACAAUAUUAAUGGUGCUAUUAAAUUGGGUAGGUAAGGGGCUAGGAGCCACCAUCACACAUGGAUACAGUAUUAAUGGUGCUAUUAAAUUGGGUAGGUAAGGGGCUAGGAGCCACCAUCACACAUGGAUACAGUAUUAAUGGUGCUAUUAAAUUGGGUAGGUAAGGGGCUAGGAGCCACCAUCACACAUGGAUACAGUAUUAAUGGUGCUAUUAAAUUGGGUAGGUAAGGGGCUAGGAGCCACCAUUACACAUGACUCUCAGUAGUCUAUUUACUAAACAGUAGUAGAGCUUUGUGGAAAACUUUGCAAAACAAGUAAGUGCAAUGCAUAAUAAUAUAUCUGACUCUAUCCACAGAUCAGACAGGAUUAUGAUUAUUCACUUCACUAGCAGUAGUACAUGUCGGUGAGUCUGUAGACUCAAAAGAUCUCCUAGUUUCCUGCCAUUACUCAGAUUUCUUCUGGUACAGUCAAUUACAUUCUGGUUUAUAAUUGUUUGAGCUAUGAGCUAAAUAACACUGCUCUCAGCUGGACAUAGAUGAAAAUUUAGCCUGGGCAUGCCUACUUGGAACCCCUUCAGGGGCAGUCCAAGAACAGAGUCUACUGAAGUGCCCUUGCUUGGGGAAAAUGCCAUGUAUGUUUAGCUCAGUAAAAUUAUUGAAUGACACACUUGCAUUGCAUUUAAGGUGAGUUUUCUGUGGUGUCCUUAAAACUGGUCUGCCCCUACAGUGGGUGCAGACCUCUUGCUUCAGGCCUGAUAAUACUAAUACAGGAUAAAAAUAUUACUUUUUAUACAGUAGCUUCUGUUAAAAGAAAAGACGUAUGCCAGAAAUAUUCAGCCAAAUUGAAAAAGAAUGGCAAUUUUUGUUUUCUAAUAAUGUGCAUCCAUAUGCUUUAUGCAUAGGCUUUACUAUGUAAAGCAAAGGAUAAAUGUAUAAAAAAAAAAAGUGACACAUGUUUAUAGGAAUAACCUUUAGAAUAAGGUACAUUGGGUACUUGCAAGUUAGAAGCUG